GGCAAAAGCUCAAAUUUGAAAUCUGGCACUUUCAGUGUCCGAGUUGUAAUUUGAAGAAGGUAUCUUUGGGUCUGGCUCUUGUCUAUGUUUCUUGGAACAGAACGUCACAGAGGGUGAGAAUCCCGUGCGAUGAGAUGUCCCAGACCUAUGUAAAGUUCCUUCGAAGAGUCGAGUUGUUUGGGAAUGCAGCUCUAAGUGGGUGGUAAAUUCCAUCUAAAGCUAAAUAUUGGCGAGAGACCGAUAGCGAACAAGUACAGUGAUGGAAAGAUGAAAAGAACUUUGAAAAGAGAGUGAAAAAGUACGUGAAAUUGUUGAAAGGGAAGGGCUUGAGAUCAGACUUGGUAUUUUGUAUGUUACUCUCUCGGGGGUGGCCUCUACAGUUUACCGGGCCAGCAUCAGUUUGAGCGGUAGGAUAAGUGCAAAGAAAUGUGGCACUGCUUCGGUAGUGUGUUAUAGUCUUUGUCGAUACUGCCAGCUUAGACUGAGGACUGCGGCUUCGGCCUAGGAUGUUGGCAUAAUGAUCUUAAGUCGCCCGUCUUGAAA
rnacentral:rRNA from 1 species